UCUGGAUAUUGGGUACCAUUACUAGAUGGUCACUUCGAUUAGUACAGAAAUUGAUUCCUGUGCUAUCGGCUUAGGUUCGAACCUGCGGGGUCACACACAUUAGAGGUUCCUAUCUGAUCUGAUGGCUGAUGAAGAGUCCUAAUAUUCAUGGACUAUGAGUCCUAUGUAUCUGAGACUCUGUGAUCGAGAAUUAGGAUUCUCUGAUC
rnacentral:lncRNA from 1 species